rnacentral:rRNA from 1 species
CAGUCGCCACGGGAAUACGUAGGGUGCGAGCGUUAAUCGGAAUUACUGGGCGUAAAGGGCUCGCAGGCGGUUUCUUAAGUCUGAUGUGAAAGCCCCCGGCUCAACCGGGGAGGGUCAUUGGAAACUGGGAAACUUGAGUGCAGAAGAGGAGAGUGGAAUUCCACGUGUAGCGGUGAAAUGCGUAGAUAUCGGAAGGAACACCUGUGGCGAAAGCGGCUCACUGGACCAUAACUGACGCUGAGGCACGAAAGCUAGGGGAGCAAACAGGAUUAGAUACCCCGGUAGUCCCUGUCUCUUAUAC